UACAAAGCAUGCUGAGGCAAUUCAGCUGUCCUUCCCCCGACUGCCAUAUGCUGCUCCUAACCUCUGCCUUGGAGCUGCUCCCAGGAGCCUCCUGCUUGCUAUGCAGAGAGAGGGGGGGAAGUGGGGGACUAAUAUCAGG